AAUCUUUGCAAGUUCACUUCAAACCUGAAGCAGCUGUUCUGCCUCCUGCUGCUGCUCCUGGUGAAUCUUUGCAUGUUCACUUUGAACCUGAAGAAGCAGGUUCACAUCCUGCUAUUGCUCCUGUGCCUGCUCCUGAUGAAUCUUUUUGGCUUCAGUUUGUACCCCAAGGAAUCAGUGCAUCUCACGGUCCUGCUCCUGGUGGCACACUGAGGAGAGCCUAGACACAGAACCUACAUUUUGUCUGGAGCCAACAUACCCUCCAGUGUGUCACCCUACAGAGACUAUGCUGUGUCUGGAGCCAACACAGCCUUCCAACCAUAGCUAUUUCAGUUCUGUGCAUUUCCUUGUUUUUUAAAAUUUACUGUCUCUGAACAGAAUCCUUCUGGCUUUCAUUUGUACCCUAAGGAACCACUACACCUCAUUUUCCUGCUCUAGAUGAUAAGUCUGCUUUUCAAGCAAUUCUAGUCACUUGGAUGUGGGUUCCUAGCCAGCAUAUCACAGAAUCACAAGGGUGGAAGAGACC